rnacentral:lncRNA from 1 species
CAUUUAUAUGUCUGAUAGGGGAUUGGAUAAACAGGAGAGUCUCUGCCUCCCUGAAAAGAAAUCCAAAUAAAUUGGAUUCCCUUUGGCUAAAGGAAGAACCUGGAACCAGCAGCAUCAGCCAAAGAGAGCAGAGAAAGGUUUAGAAAGAGAGCAUAUUGGAGGCAGAAAAAGACUUUCAGCAGAGAGUGCAGUGGACGAAGAGUUCUGCCUCUCCCCUUCCUGUUUGCCUUGGGUGAUAUUGUUUGAAAACAUGAUGCUUGGAAGUAUGACAAUCAUCUUACGACCACGAGAGAAAGGCCAGGAGAACUAUAGCGACAGCAGUCCAGCAUCCUGA